rnacentral:rRNA from 2 species
UACGGAGGGUGCAAGCGUUGUUCGGAAUUACUGGGCGUAAAGGGCGUGCAGGCGGAACUGUAAGUCGGGUGUGAAAGCCCAGGGCUCAACCCUGGAAGUGCAUUCGAUACUGCAAUUCUAGAGUAUGGGAGAGGAGAGUGGAAUUCCGAGUGUAGAGGUGAAAUUCGUAGAUAUUCGGAGGAACACCCGUGGCGAAGGCGACUCUCUGGACCAAUACUGACGCUGAGACGCGAAAGCGUGGGGAGCAAAC